GUCCUAUUUUAAUUCCUAAGUAUGAUUGGGUUUUCACACGCAUAGGUAACAUGCGCAUCCCUCAAACCUUGUGGUGAUGUCAGCACGGUAUCCGUCUGAUG
ensembl:snoRNA